UACGUAGGGGGCAAGCGUUGUCCGGAUUUAUUGGGCGUAAAGAGCGUGUAGGCGGCCAUACAGGUCAGCUGUGAAAACUCGAGGCUCAACCUCGAGACGUCGGUUGAAACCGUACUGGCUAGAGUCCGGAAGAGGAGAGUGGAAUUCCUGGUGUAGCGGUGAAAUGCGCAGAUAUCAGGAAGAACACCCGUGGCUAAGGCGGCUCUCUAGUACGGUACUGACGCUGAGACGCGAAAGCGUGGGGAGCGAACAGG
rnacentral:rRNA from 1 species